GAUUUUUCGACGUGCUUGAUCACGAUCCCGCCUAGGUUGAUUCUUGUCAGUGUCAUGUGUCCCUGACAUGAUUGACUUGAAUAAGUGUCAUUCCAAUAAUUAAAUAGCGAUUCAUAUGUUUGCUUACCUUGGUCUGGAAGAUGCAGAGUUGUAGCCUUUUUAUGUUGGCGUGCGAUCCGCUGCUUCAGUAGGUAUUCCCUUUUCUUUUCAGCAGACAUCCGUGAAUACCAACUCGUACUACUACUUGGUUUCUGUUCUAUAUUCUCAUCAUUAACAGCAAAGUUUAUGUUGUUAGUAGUAGUAAUAGCUAGAUAAGAAUGUUUUUGCACAGAACGUUUCGAAUACUGGUUAUUAUGUGUUACCUUUUUGUGCGAGCUGCUUUGGUUCCGUACAAUUGUCACGCAUCGUAUCUGCAUAUGUCUCAGUUUGAUUUGGCGAUGGUGACACUCCAGCUCCAGCAGUUGGAUGUGCAUCAUCAAACGGAAGCAGCAGUUUUUUCGCAGCCAUGUUUUCAGUUGGAUGUGCAUCAUCAAACGUAAAUGAGUGCCUGAUGAUAAAUUAGAUAUCAGUAGUUGAAUUAGCAUGUGUACAAGAGAUAUCAAUAAUUAAAUUCUGAUUUGUACGUUUCAUACUUUGAUCUGGAAGCUGCCUUGGGUCCUCAGCUGAACUCGUACGAGUUCCAUUUGGCGAUACUGACACUUGAGAUCCAUCCCUAUUUUGCGCAUGAUCAAAGGAAACCAGAAGAUUUUUCCCAGUAAUAAUGUUUUUAGAACAUGGUUCACCUAAAUGAUUUCCUGCUGAUCAAUUUGAUUUAACAUGAUUUGUAUGUAUACAAGAGAUAUCAAAUUGAUUUUAUGUAUAUACCUUUUCCUACAUUUAACGUUGGGUCAUCAACUUUACCAACUGAACCCAAUAGAGCUCCAUCUUUUUUUUUGCGGUAUGCUAUCCGCUUUUUCUGUAGGUAUUCUUCUUUCUUCUGAACAGACAUUUGAGCAUACCGACUCCUAUUACUGCCUUGUUCUUGGUUUUCGUCAGUAGCUUUGUUGGUUAUGUCACUAAAGGGGGUACGAUUUCCUGUUUAUUUAUGACAGGAAAUAAUACAGAUAUUACUGCCUUGAUCUGGUGUGGACAUGACUUAAGAUGGUAUGGCGUACCUUGCUCUUGUUCAUGAUUUGGAGUCUCCGCCUUUUUUUGUUGCCGGGCGAUCCGCUUCUUGUGUAGUAGGUCUUUAAAUGGGGUAUGCCCAUCCGGCGGAGAUUCUGAUGAAUUCUCUUGAUAUAUCAUCUGCUAGGAGUAUUGAGAGCCACGUAUAAUUUUAAUUUUACUGUUAGUGACUGUAAAGUUGGACAUGUUCCCAUUUGAAGAGAGCUCCAGCAGCAAAGUUAUUUAGUGACUUA